UAUCACUAAAUUGAAUUAUUUAGAAGAAAAUAAAUCUAUAAAAUUGUUCCGCAGAAACGUCCAGUGGCCUUGAUUCCGUUUAUCCUGUGCGUUAUUGGUACGAUAGGUUUCACCCUUCUGUACAAUGGAUUCAAUUUCAUGUGGAUGCAGUACGGCCACUUUCCAUUUGUGAUGAGCAUUAUGUUGGUUAUUGGAAUGGAAGUGCUUGCUUUAUACACCAUAUGUUCAUUGUUUCAUCAAAUGUGGAUUGAAAAGAAGAAACAGACAGUGAGAAAACAAAAUCCUAAUUACUAUGACAAAGUGCGAAUACUUAUUCUCGAAACGUUUGGAUUUAUAUAUCAAUCAAAUAUGAAAUUUGAUAACGAAUAAAAACUAAACAAUUAAAAUUAA